rnacentral:misc_RNA from 1 species
GAAAUGCGAUAAGUAAUGUGAAUUGCAGAAUUCAGUGAAUCAUCGAAUCUUUGAACGCACCUUGCGCUCCUUGGUAUUCCGAGGAGCAUGCCUGUUUGAGUGUCAUGGAAUUCUCAACUCUAUUUGCUUUUGUGAAUAGAGCUUGGAUUUGGAGGUUUAUUGCUGGUACUUGUGAUCGGCUCCUCUUGAAUGCAUUAGCUCGAACCUUUGCGGAUCAGCUAUCGGUGUGAUAAUUGUCUACGCCGUUGCAGUGAAGCCUAUCAAUGGGCUCGGCUUCCAAUCGUCCUUUACUGGACAAUGACUUUGACCUUUGACCUCAAAUCAGGUAGGAUUACCCGCUGAACUUAAGC